GAUGAACGCUAGCGGCAGGCUUAACACAUGCAAGUCGAGGGGCAGCGUGGAGCAGCAAUGCUCUGACGGCGACCGGCGGAAGGGUGCGUAACACGUGAGCGACUUGCCCGUCACAGGGGGAUAACCGGCGGAAACGGCGACUAAUACCCCAUAUGAUGCGAUGCUGCAUGGCAUUGCAUUGAAAGAUUCAUCGGUGGCGGAUAGGCUCGCGGGACAUUAGCUAGACGGCGGGGCAACGGCCCACCGUGGCGACGAUGUCUAGGGGUUCUGAGAGGAAGGCCCCCCACACUGGGACUGAGACACGGCCCAGACUCCUACGGGAGGCAGCAGUGAGGAAUAUUGGUCAAUGGGCGGAAGCCUGAACCAGCCAUGCCGCGUGAAGGACUAAGGCCCCUACGGGUCGUAAACUUCUUUAGACGCAGAGCAAUAAGGUCCACGCGUGGACCGAUGAGAGUAUGCGUAGAAUAAGCAUCGGCU
rnacentral:rRNA from 1 species